UGAAUUUUAUCUAAAUUUGAUAGUACAUGUAACACCCCGUACUUUUCCCUAUGUUGUGAGAUAGUGUCUUAACACUAUUGAGAGUACUGAGAUGUCAGAGAGAUUGACUGUCCUAUUAAGAAAAUAGGAAUAAUGAGUUGGAAAUAGAGUCGAGAAAGAAAGAGUGAAAAACCUUGAUAAAAAAAAAAAAAAAAUACGGUCGGAGAGACGUCUAGUUUGUCUGUGUUUGCCGACUGCUUUGACGUGAUAUUAUGUGAAAUUACGUGACUGAUUGAUUAUGUGAGUUUUGUUACGUAUGUCAUUGUGAGCAAGUUAUUAUGAUUUUUAUUUGAGGAUAUUAGCACUUGGAAUUUUAAUUAAGUUUCUAAAGCAAGUGCAGUUUAUUUUUACCGAGAAAUCAAAGAAUGCCGGUUAAUGAAAAUAUUUCCAAGCAUAUAUUUUGUUUUAAAAUUAUUUUUCCUAUGAGAGGAAUAUUAUAAUUGAGUGAGUGCACUAAUAUUAGUGCUAUAAUUAUUUUAUGUGGUCACAUGAAUAAUUAUGUAUUGGUAUUUUAUUAAUUAGUACAUUUCCAUAGUUUUUGUGAUUUAUUUUUGAUCACCCUUCUCACACUAUUACUUUAAUUUCCCUACCAUGUGACUAAAUACCACAAUUUGCCAAGUGUAGAGAUUAUUGAAGAGAGUGUAGAGAUUAGAGAGAUAGUGUAGAGAUUAGAGAGAGAGAGAUCAAGGCAUUAAUUGCCAAUAUUUCCUUAAGAUUACAAAAUCCUCUUUAAAGAUCACAAGAUCAUUUACAAUCUUGCAAAAUCCUCUCUCACUACUCACUCAUCAUUUUCGACCAACACCUCUCUCCCUCUUUCUCUCACUUUCCUCCAUUUUCCUCCAUUGAAGAGACCUUCGGAGCUUCCAAAAAUUUUACAAAACACCUCAAUCCACUCUAAAAUCUUCCAUAAACACAUCCUAGCUACUUAUAUUCAAGAGAAUCAUUGAAGAAAGGCUUCCAAGCUAGAGUGAGAAAAUGUGAGUUUUGGUGAGAAAUUUGGGUAAGUGGUCAUGUAUUCCAUAAAUCUUGCUUGAAUGAUGUUGUAUGAAGAAAGAAAAUCACCUCUCCCUUGUUCUUAAAAUUUUCAAAAAAAUGGGUCUUUACCCUUCAAAAAUUUUCUUUUUCUUUCCUUGAUUUGGGGAAAAAAAAAUGAGAUCUAUGUGGUGUUUGUUGAUGAUUGAUGUGUGUUGUGAAAGUAUAUGCUUUGAGAUGUGAAAGUCGAUUGAGUUUAGUUUACAAAAAAAAAAAUUGGGAAAUUGUGAGUCGAUGAUUUAUAUGAUGAUUGAUGAUUAUUGAGUUAAUAUAUAUGAAUAUCUUGAUGAUUAGCCAUGAGAUAUAGAUUUUUCUAUUAGGUUAGUUUACCUAAAAUUGGGAUGUUGAGAUCCUAUGAAUCAAUUGAUGUAUUGAUGAUGGAUUUGAGUUUAUGAGAUGAUCUAGAUGAUUAAUGAUGGAUGAGAUUGAAGCUUGAGGUUGAGAAAUGAAAAAUGAAAAGUGUUAGUUUGAGGAAGAAGAUGACAUACAUAUGUAUCUAUAUGUGAUCUUGUUUUAUGAUGUUGAUUUGUGCUAAUUGGUAACCUAGGAUGUUAGAUCUAUGAUUUGAUCAAUAGGUUAUACAUGAUUAGUGAUAUUUUCAAAAGAGUUUAGUUUAAUAAAAAUUAGGACUUUUUGCCUAUGUGUUAUUAAAGUGAUUUUGGCUUAAGAUAUAUGUAUUUG
rnacentral:lncRNA from 1 species